rnacentral:rRNA from 1 species
CCUUCGGGGGCGCGSWGCAGUAGGGAAUCUUCCGCAAUGGACGAAAGUCUGACGGAGCAACGCCGCGUGAGUGAUGAAGGUUUUCGGAUCGUAAAGCUCUGUUGUUAGGGAAGAACAAGUACCGUUCGAAUAGGGCGGUACCUUGACGGUACCUAACCAGAAAGCCACGGCUAACUACGUGCCAGCAGCCGCGGUAAUACGUAGGUGGCAAGCGUUGUCCGGAAUUAUUGGGCGUAAAGGGCUCGCAGGCGGUUUCUUAAGUCUGAUGUGAAAGCCCCCGGCUCAACCGGGGAGGGUCAUUGGAAACUGGGGAACUUGAGUGCAGAAGAGGAGAGUGGAAUUCCACGUGUAGCGGUGAAAUGCGUAGAGAUGUGGAGGAACACCAGUGGCGAAGGCGACUCUCUGGUCUGUAACUGACGCUGAGGAGCGAAAGCGUGGGGAGCGAACAGGAUUAGAUACCCCCCGKKGAAGCCA